AAAUUCUUUUGGGUGAGAUAACAACUUUACUGUCCAAGUGAUCUUAGUAAAUGUCUAUUUGAGUUCCGAUGAAAGGAACGACAGAGGUUGCAGAUUUUCACAUUCUUCUGUGCGCGAUCUACACGGCGAAGCUUCCUCCGUUGUCUCCUCUUCGCGAAGUUCUGCUGUUCUCCACAGCCUAGUUUAAACUGUCUCCUCUGUGAAACCCAAGGUGGAGGUCCCUAUUAUAAUAAAAGUGAUUUUUAUUACAGUCUUAGUCAACUUGUGUCCAACUCUUAUUAUACCAGAGGCAACAGUUGAAGAGCAAUUAUCCACCCACUCACCAAAUUCAUUUGGGAAGAAAUUUAAAAAAUGAGCGCCAGGCCCCUCCGCUAGAGAUCCUCACUGGGAGCUCUGAGCUGAGCCAGGGAACUUGCAGUGUACUACGGGCCUUCCGAUGAGUGUGCAGCCCGGCUAAGUCUGGGAAACCGGGUGGGAUGGAGAAGCCACGGGCCCUGGACAGCCCGUGGACGCAGCCUGCCUGGCCUGCAGACCGUGCCGGCUCACUGGCUUCCUAUAAAAUCCGCUGCUUGCGGAGCUUUCAUCGUGCUCGGGCUUCAUGUGUAUCGUUCUGUUUGGUUCUUGCAACAAUCCCAUGAGAAGAUGAUUAUUAUCUCCACGUUAUAGGAGAAGAAUCAAAACAGAAGCUGAAGGAGCUGCUGACCUGCCCAAGACUCUACGAAAAGCAGCGGCAGCAAACCCAGGCCGGCCGAGUCCCAGAGCCAACUGUGCUGCCAGAGCCACAACCCUGACCGCGCACACUGGGCCUUUGUACUCGUCCCCUUGCGUGACCGAGUUCGUCAGAGAUGGAAGGGGUUAGGUGCCUGGCUCCCCGGUCUAAUGGUGGGGCAGCGUGCAGGCGGGACACUUCUCAGCUCUGCAGCCAGAGCCUCGAGGUUUGCAGCUCAUGCAAACUCCAGCGACCGGCUGCUUCGCCGAGCUCACAGGAGGCUGGCCGAGCGCACGGAAUGCCAGUGCGUUCACGAGGAGUGGGAGGGCACCUGUGUGAUCGCAACCCAGUCGAGGGCCCAAAUCGCAGGGAGCGAAUUCAGCGUGGGAGAAACCAUCAGCACCUCCAGUCUCCAAAGGCCCUCGGGAAAAGCAAACUGCUCCGUCCACCGACCAGCUCGCCCUGAGAGGUCUUGGGCCAGGACCUUGCUGACAGCACAUCUACGCGUGUGAGACUUCUAUUGGGGGAUCCCUGGGUGGCUCAGAGGUUUAGCGCCUGCCUUUGGCCCAGGGCGCAGUCCUGGGGACCCGGGAUCGAGUCCUGCAUCGGGCUCCCUGCAUGGAGCCUGCUUCUCCCUCUGCCUAUGUCUCUGCCUCUCUCUCUCUCUAUGUCUAUCAUGAAUAAAUAAAUAAAAUCUUAAAAAAAAAAAAAAAGA
rnacentral:lncRNA from 12 species